GAUGAACGCUGGCGGCGUGCUUAACACAUGCAAGUCGAACGAGAAGUGAAGACGGAAACCUUCGGGCGGAAGGCUUUAUUUCGAGUGGCGGACGGGUGAGUAACGCGUGGGUAACCUGCCUCAUACAGGGGGAUAACAGUUGGAAACGACUGUUAAUACCGCAUAAGACCACAGCACCGCAUGGUGCGGGGGUAAAAACUCCGGUGGUAUGAGAUGGACCCGCGUUCGAUUAGCCAGUUGGCGGGGUAACGGCCCACCAAAGCGACGAUCGAUAGCCGAUCUGAGAGGAUGACCGGCCACAUUUGGACUGAGACACGGCCCAAACUCCUACGGGAGGCAGCAGUGGGGAAUAUUGCACAAUGGGGGAAACCCUGAUGCAGCGACGCCGCGUGAGUGAAGAAGUAUUUCGGUAUGUAAAGCUCUAUCAGCAGGGAAGAAAAUGACGGUACCUGAGUAAGAAGCCCCGGCUAACUACGUG
rnacentral:rRNA from 1 species